ensembl:lncRNA
AGACAGCACCCAAACCCCCGGGGCCCGGCCCCCGCCCCGCCAGGGAGCAGCGAUGGCGCGGCCUCCCCGGAGCUGCGGUGCCCCGGCUGCAGCGGCCGCCCCGCGCCCGUCCCCCGAGCUCCCGUCGUGGCCCCUGCAGCUGCGCUCCCUCACGGACCCUGGGCCUCGGCUCCUCGCGUUUGCUUCCCUGCUUCCUCGGGACAGCCCUCUCUACUUCCACAGACCCGUUCCCAUGGCCUUCCAAAAUCCCCUGCCACCGGCUGCGUGCUCUUCCAUCAUUUCCUUCCCCCAGCCGCCUCGCUUCUGCUUCACAGAAUCACGGGAUCAAUUAGAUGAGAUUGUUCCUUCACUAUGUCAGCACUAUACCAGACAAUGGCUCCUUGCUAAGCCAGGCCGCAUUUCUCACUCCACAGAUGGCAGAAGUUACUCAUCCAUCAAGUUUAAGCCAGGCCAAGAAGAAAUCAAAUCAGAACAUGAGUGGAGAGUUCGCUUACCGGGUAACAUUGAGCCUAGGAGAGAGGUGGAAGACUCACGUCAGAGGAUAACUUGGACUGAAGAACUUGUUGAAGUGCCAAUUAAUUUCUUCUCACGGCUAGAGGAAGACAUUAAAUGA